UACGAAGGGGGCUAGCGUUGUUCGGAAUUACUGGGCGUAAAGCGCACGUAGGCGGACUAUUAAGUCAGGGGUGAAAUCCCGGGGCUCAACCCCGGAACUGCCUUUGAUACUGGUAGUCUCGAGUCCGGAAGAGGUGAGUGGAAUUCCGAGUGUAGAGGUGAAAUUCGUAGAUAUUCGGAGGAACACCAGUGGCGAAGGCGGCUCACUGGUCCGGUACUGACGCUGAGGUGGCGAAAGCGUGGGGAGCAAACAGG
rnacentral:rRNA from 1 species